CAGUAGCCGCGGGAAUACGAAGGGGGCUAGCGUUGUUCGGAUUUACUGGGCGUAAAGCGCACGUAGGCGGACUUUUAAGUCAGGGGUGAAAUCCCGGGGCUCAACCCCGGAACUGCCUUUGAUACUGUAAGUCUUGAGUAUGGUAGAGGUGAGUGGAAUUCCGAGUGUAGAGGUGAAAUUCGUAGAUAUUCGGAGGAACACCAGUGGCGAAGGCGGCUCACUGGACCAUUACUGACGCUGAGGUGCGAAAGCGUGGGGAGCAAACAGGAUUAGAUACCCGGGUAGUCCCUGUCUCUUAUAC
rnacentral:rRNA from 1 species